UCUGUCUGCUUCUUACUUUCUCUUCUUUGGGUAACUCCCACUGGUGUCCUGUGGCAGCUGUGAACUGGAUUAAUGCUGUCUCUCCUGUUUUUUGAGUCAUUCUCAGAUACCCUGCAAGGCGAUAAGUUCCCUGCUAAUUUUUAAAGACAUUGAGGCUUCCAGGAUGUUCUACCUGUGGAUAUGCUUGAGUCUGUUCUUUGUUCUGCAAAGCACUGUAUCAUCAGAUCAAGGUGUGUCAGUGAAUUGCAACAAGACUGCAGAAGUUGGAAAAAGUAAAAUGUACCUAAAAUGUCCCAUACAUUGGAAAGAUGGCUCAAACUGUAGAGUUCAAAAUUAUACCUGGAAGAACACAAAUGGGCCCAUACAAUGUAACUGGACAAACUACAGCUGUGAAUGGGAUCCUCAGAAGUAUGUGGCUCUCACCAUUCAACGUGUCACGAAAGAGGAAAACGUUACAGUUGAAAUCAGGUCAGACUGUGGUAUGGCUAAAUCAGGAGUACAACUACUCCGUAUUGCAGGAAAUGGAGGAGGAAUGCAGGAGUCACAUGUGAUGGCCAUCAUACUCUGUGUUUUUCCCACAGCUGUAUACAUUUUCACUCUAUAGAAGUCAGACACAAUUUCAGUGACAGAUUCUGCACUGUGAAUUAAAGGCUGAUUGUUGUGUUAUAUGUGCACAUAUAGUUGUUGUUUAUGAAUGUUACUGAUCACCACAGCUGGUUAUCCACCUACUUCCCAAAAGCAUUACAGUCUUUCCUACUCGAUAGGUUUAUACAAACUGAGCCAACAACAACGAGCACAGCUGCAGCUGAAUAUUGUGUUCUGUGCUCCUGAGAGGAGCUUUGUUACAAAAAUACUGUUUACUUUCAUUCAGUGAUGUGUGAACUGUUACGUUCUAAGUCUAGGCGUGCCUUGAACGCAACAAGACGUUGGCCCCACUCACGCACCACCCAAGAAAGAACACAAACAGUAGUACCUUUUAAAGUGCUAAGCAGCCAUUUAUUUGCUUCAGCAGUGAGCAAUGCCAAAAAUAACACACAAAACUCCCUAAAAGUCCCUAUGCUUUCAUACACAAAAGAAAAACCAAAAGACAAUUCAGUUACCUACCCUUCUAAAUGAAAAACAGGAGAAAACUUAAUCAAGAAAAACGGCUUCUCACGCCUACUAGCCCGCUGCAGUGAACAAUAAACAAAUUCACACAGUGAAAAAAAACAAAAAAAAAACAACUGCUACUUAACAAAUCUAUUUACAAGAUCAAGAUUGUAACGCCAGACACACAUCAGGUUAUACUUGCAAAUCAACUGGCAAAAACACAGGCUCUUUGUUGGAUGGUGGAGGCUAGGAGAGAGAGAGAGUCAGGUGGCUGUCAUCUGGUGGUUAAAUACUGGAGGUGAUCAACCAAUUAUCCAAUCCCAGGACAGGAACAGACUCCACCCAACAACUCAGCAGGCACGCCCCAGGUGUCCACUCCCUAAGAAAGAAAAAGAAAAAACCCACAGCCAUCCUCUGGUGGGAGGAGUCAGACAUAAAACAAACACUGAUAACAUUGGAUCGUAACAGAACACUGCCUCUGUACAGGAUUUAUACUGUCAAAAUGUACACCCCAACUAACUCCUGUUUUGUGUGAAGCCUACAAUGUCUCCAGUUAAUAUAGGGAUAGUGUGACCACAAAAAAUUCAAUUGUGUAAUCAGUUGAAUGUAUUUAUUUAUUGUAUAAUCAAUUUGUUUGUUUGUUUUUGGGGGGGUAUUUUAAAUUUGAUUACAUGUGGCAUAAAACCUGAAAAUCUCUCUAUUGCCCCCCCCCCCCCACACACACACACACACACAUACACACACACACACACACAUUACAAUCUAGCAUCUACAUUACCCAAACUGCAACUUGACUAGUGUACAAAGAGAUCUAAUUGUGUUACUGUAAUGUGGCCAGCUGGAAACAGACUCUGAUGAUCUCACUGGGGUUAUCACAGCUAUGCUUUGAAAACCUGUGCUGCAAUCUUGCUGGUUGUUUUACAAAGAUCAUAGCCACUCAUUAAGCAAGAGGGAGUUAUGAGAUGUCAGGUAAAUAGUCAGUUUUCAGUCUGCUUGGACAAGUACAUAUUGUUGUACAAUAUACGACAACAGAUAAUUCUUCCAUUUAGCCACAGCUAAAAAAAACACAGCUCCGUUUGAAGCUGAAGCUCACGACACGUGUCAAAAUAAAACCAAGACAUAUUGAGAGACACAGAGUCAGCGAGGAAGAGAAGAUGUUCUGUGAUUCCUAAGUAAAAAAUAAAACA